GUUCAAACAAGUCAAUAAAACUAAACUUCGGAGCCAAGCAGUCACGGUGGGAAAAUGACCACUUAAAGAUUGCCAAGAGAAAAGACAAGCACGUUGAACUUCAAAUGGUGAUGGAGAGACCAGGCAUGGGGCAAGGCCUAGGAGAGUGGUUACCCAUGGGGUUUUCAAGUUAACAGUCUUGGAUCAAAAGAACUAGGGAAAGGGGGAUCAGAAACACAUAGAGGAAAAGGUGAUGGGAAGAAGCAGCAGACAGAGAUUUGAAGAUGCUGGCUUUGAAGACUGGAGUGAUGCAGCCACAAAUCAAAGAAUGCUGGCUGCCAUCAGGAGCUGGAGGAGUCUAGGCGAAAAAGAACCUUCCGCUAUCUCUUACCGUGAAGCUCAUUACUGGACCUUUUACAAUCUGUGGAAUCCAAAUGAAGCAAGCACCACCAGGUCUCAGAAGGGAGUGCAGAUCUUCCUAAUAAGGCAAUAUAAAAUCUGGAGCCACUAUGUAGAGACAGCUGGUAAUAGUAAAGCGGCCGCAGAAGAAAUUGGAGUAAAAAGAUGCGAAGAGGCCAAAUCCUGAUGACAUCUGCUGAACUGUUGAACCGUUUGGUCUAGCCAGCGCUGCUUCAGGUUUUCCAAGUUUAUGAGCUGGUACAUUUCAGUUUUUAGAUACUUGCAACCAAAAAAUCCUAAUAUAACUACCAACAGAGCAUCUGGUAUACUGGAAAACAUUCACUGAACUAUUAAAA
rnacentral:lncRNA from 1 species